rnacentral:tRNA from 1 species
ACCUGGCUAGCUCAGUUGGUAGAGCAUGUGACUCUCAAUCUUAGUGCUGAGAGUUCAAGCCCCAUGUUGGGAA